UGGUUGCUGGAGAUGGUCAAACUUGGGUUUUAAUCACUUGAUUUGCAAGAUAUCACCUAUUGUUUAGCUGAUUCCAUCUCAUUCUAUAUGGCAGAUGGAAGAGUACAUCUUAUGUUUAAUGUUGUUGGGGACAUUGCUUGGUGCAAUGGCAAAAAGUUUGGGCUGUCAAGUGUAGUACACAGGUUCAAGUCUGAGAACAACUACUUCGUCCAAUUAAAGAAGCAGAACGU